GCUUCCGUGGUCCAAGGGAUGGGCAGUCGGCUUCUAUCCGACCUAUGUGGGUUCGAAUCCUGCCGGGAGCGCCA
rnacentral:tRNA from 1 species